rnacentral:rRNA from 1 species
GACGAACGCUGGCGGCGUGCUUAACACAUGCAAGUCGAACGGAAAGGACCGGCUUUUGUGGGGUGCUCGAGUGGCGAACGGGGGAGUAACACGUGAGUAACCUGUCCUUGACUGUGGGAGAACUUCAGGAAACUGGGGCGAAUACCGGAUAGGAGCUCCUGCUGCAUGGUGGGGGUUGGAAAGUUUGGGCGGUUGGGGAUGGACGCGCGGGUUAUCAGCUUGUUGGGGGGGUAGUGGCUUACCAAGGCUUUGACGGGUAGCCGGCCUGAGAGGGUGACCGGGCACAUUGGGACUGAGAGACGGCCCAGACUCCUACGGGAGGCAGCGGUGGGGAGUAUUGCGCAGUGGGGGGGAGCGUGAGGCGGCGGCGCCGGGUGCGGGAUGACGGCCUGCGGGUGGUAAACCGGUUUCGCCGGUGACGAAGGGUGAGUGACGGUAAUGGGUAAGGAAGCACCGGCUAACUACGUG